CAGCAGCCACGGGAAUACGUAGGUGGCAAGCGUUGUCCGGAAUUAUUGGGCGUAAAGGGCUCGCAGGCGGUUUCUUAAGUCUGAUGUGAAAGCCCCGGCUCAACCGGGGAGGGUCAUUGGAAACUGGGAAACUUGAGUGCAGAAGAGGAGAGUGGAAUUCCACGUGUAGCGGUGAAAUGCGUAGAGAUGUGGAGGAACACCAGUGGCGAAGGCGACUCUCUGGUCUGUAACUGACGCUGAGGAGCGAAAGCGUAGGGAGCGAACAGGAUUAGAUACCCCAGUAGUCCCUGUCUCUUAUACA
rnacentral:rRNA from 1 species